rnacentral:rRNA from 1 species
AGCGAACGUUUGCGGCGGGCCUAACACAUGCAAGUCGAACGCACUAGCAAUAGUGAGUGGCGCACGGGUGCGUAACACGUGGGUAAUCAACCCUUCAGCCUGGGAUAACGACUCGAAAGGGUCGCUAAUACCGGAUACGGCGCGAGAGGCUUCGGCUUCUCACGAGAAAGCCACGCAAGGGGCACUGAAGGACGAGCCUGCGGCCCAUCAGCUAGUUGGUGAGGUAAGAGCUCACCAAGGCUAAGACGGGUAGCUGGUCUGAGAGGAUGAUCAGCCACACUGGAACUGAGACACGGUCCAGACUCCUACGGGAGGCAGCAGUGGGGAAUAUUGCGCAAUGGGCGAAAGCCUGACGCAGCCACGCCGCGUGAGCGAUGAAGGCCUCGGGUCGUAAAGCUCUGUGGGAGAGACGAGAAAGACCUGUGAGAGCAGGCCUUGACGGUAGUCUCCUUACGCAAGCACCGGCUAACUCCGU